UCCAAGUGUCUUUAUAGUUCAUGGCAUGUGUGCGUUUAAUGCCGGUUUUAUUUAUAUUAAAUUCCCUGAUGCUCUUGAACCUCAAGACACAGCGGCUUACACAGCGUUAACCUGACGUGGUUUGAUUGCAGCGGGUCAUGUGUGUUCCAUGGCAUCAGAAUAUCCUGAGCUGGAACGGACCCUCAGGGAUCAUCCAGUGCGACAGAUCUGAUGGAGCGCUUUAAGGGAUGGAUGCUGCUCUUUGCAGAGUUCCUCAUGAGACCGUGUCAGACCUCCCUGCAAUCAUCUCUCCAAUUUGUGGCUGUUCCCCUGAACUUCAAAGGGGAAAAUGCCUGAUGUUGGUGCUGGAAGGGACAAGGCACUGCCCAAACUGAACCUCAGCAGAAGGUUCCUUCCAAGAGCCUCCUCCCUGGCGCUGUCUGCUCUGCAGCUCCUUUCCCGAGAUGAAAGAGGCCCGUGGAAGAAAACGAACCCCAAAUUUUAAUCUUUCCACGAAUGGUCUUGGGGCACUUUACAGCUCCACUUCCUCAAGGGAGGGGACUUUUCCCCCAGCUCUAGAUUAGGUUUGUCCCCAGCACUGAUGCUCAGUGCUCUCUGCAGCUGCAGGCAGAAAGAAUUUCGCUCCAGGAUGUUCAACAACAACACGAAGCAAACAAGGCCCAAGACAUCAGGUUUGUUGUGGGCUUGGAUGUAACAUCAUAAUCCUUGUCACAAGUCAGAUCAGAAUAAAGCACUGGCAACUCCUGAAGUUAAAUGACA